GGAUGAACGCUGGCGGCGUGCCUAAUACAUGCAAGUCGAGCGAACAGAUAAGGAGCUUGCUCCUUUGAAGUUAGCGGCGGACGGGUGAGUAACACGUGGGUAACCUACCUAUAAGACUGGGAUAACUUCGGGAAACCGGAGCUAAUACCGGAUAAUAUUUAGAACCGCAUGGUUCUAAAGUGAAAGAUGGUUUUGCUAUCACUUAUAGAUGGACCCGCGCCGUAUUAGCUAGUUGGUAAGGUAACGGCUUACCAAGGCGACGAUACGUAGCCGACCUGAGAGGGUGAUCGGCCACACUGGAACUGAGACACGGUCCAGACUCCUACGGGAGGCAGCAGUAGGGAAUCUUCCGCAAUGGGCGAAAGCCUGACGGAGCAACGCCGCGUGAGUGAUGAAGGGUUUCGGCUCGUAAAACUCUGUUAUUAGGGAAGAACAAAUGUGUAAGUAACUGUGCACAUCUUGACGGUACCUAAUCAGAAAGCCACGGCUAACUACGUGCCAGCAGCCGCG
rnacentral:rRNA from 1 species